UACGGAGGGUGCGAGCGUUGUCCGGAAUCACUGGGCGUAAAGGGCGCGUAGGUGGCGCGAGUAGUCAACGGUGAAAGCCCGGGGCUCAACCGUGGAAGCGCAUCCGAAACUGCUUCGCUCGAGUCUCGGAGAGGAAGGUGGAAUGCUUGGUGUAGAGGUGAAAUUCGUAGAUAUCAAGCAGAACACCUGCGGCGAAGGCGGCCUUCUGGACGAUGACUGACGCUGAGACGCGAAAGCGUGGGGAGCAAACAGG
rnacentral:rRNA from 1 species